CUCAAAUGAAUUGACGGGGGCCCGCACAAGCGGUGGAGCAUGUGGUUUAAUUCGAUGCAACGCGAAGAACCUUACCUACUCUUGACAUCCAGAGAACUUAGCAGAGAUGCUUUGGUGCCUUCGGGAACUCUGAGACAGGUGCUGCAUGGCUGUCGUCAGCUCGUGUUGUGAAAUGUUGGGUUAAGUCCCGCAACGAGCGCAACCCUUAUC
rnacentral:rRNA from 1 species